GUCGAUUUAGCUCAGUUGGGAGAGCGUCAGACUGAAGUUUACUUCGGUUCAAAAAUCUGAAGGUUUGUGUCCCACUUGAUUGACUUCAAUGCCUAUAUUGACUUUUCACCAGGUCCUGUGUUCAAUCCACAUAAUCGACA